GAGUUUGAUCGUGGCUCAGAUUGAACGCUGGCGGCAGGCCUAACACAUGCAAGUCGAGCGGAUGACGGGAGCUUGCUCCUUGAUUCAGCGGAGGACGGGUGAGUAAUGCCUAGGAAUCUGCCUGGUAGUGGGGGACAACGUUUCGAAAGGAACGCUAAUACCGCAUACGUCCUACGGGAGAAAGCAGGGGACCUUCGGGCCUCGCGCUCUUGGAGCGGCCGAUGUCGGAUUAGCUAGUUGGUGAGGUAAAGGCUCACCAAGGCGACGAUCCGUAGCAGGUCUGAGAGGAUGAUCUGCCACACUGGAACUGAGACACGGUCCAGACUCCUACGGGAGGCAGCAGUGGGGAAUUUUGGACAAUGGGGCAACCCUGAUCCAGCCAUGCCGCGUGAGUGAAGAAGGCC
rnacentral:rRNA from 2 species